CCAAAGCAGAGAGCAGUAGUACUGUACAGAUGGACGACGCCACCAGCAAGCUGGAGCAGAUGAACAUUUCCUUUAGCAUUUGGCCGCCAACGCAGAGAACUCGCGAUGCCGUCAAGAAAGGCAUUGUGGAAUCGCUUUCCACCACUUCCAUCCUUUCUAAACGUUAUGGCACCUUACUUACCGAAGAAGCCACCGCCGUCGCCGAACGCAUGGAGGAUGAGGCCUACGCUGCCGCCUCCUCCGCAUCCGUCCCUGCCGAUGAUGACGGCAUCGAAAUCCUUCAGGUUUAUUCGAAAGAAAUCAGCGAACGGAUGCUUGAUUACAUGAAGUCCAGAUCCGCUUCGCCGGCAGCAGCCUCCUCCACGUUGAAUGAGGAUUCAACUGUUCACGAUGAGGAAAGCUCUACCGUCGAAACUCAAUCUUAAAGCUUAUUGAAACGGGGCGGACCGCUAUGGUGCGUAGGGGCAGACCACUAUGGUGCGCACGAUAGAAGGGGCCAUCAACACCAAGGUCUUGACGGCCUUGCAAGAGCAUAAGCUUUAUGUCAAUUUGAAGAAGUGUACUUCCUGCUCAUGGAAUGCUUGAAGAAAGGGAAGUUCCAAUGGGGUCCUGAGCAAGACGAAUGCUUUACCUUAAUUACGGAGAAGCUUAGAAUCGCUCCCGUUCUAGCCUUACCUGAUUUCAAGAAAUUCUUUGAAGUAGAAUGCAACGCAAGCGACAUUGGGGUUGGUGCUGUCCUAUCCCAAGAAAGAAGACUGAUCGCCUUCAAUGGUAAAAAAUUAUGCGAGGCCUGACAAUAGUGAAGCACGCGCGACCAAGAUUUCUAUGCGGUGGUUUGAGCCUUGAGGUAAUCGGAGCAUUACUUGGUUCAUCAAUAGUCAGAAACCGACCAACAAGAUGCACGCUUGUCGGGAAAAGUAGCACCGCUCGCCCCCAAACAACGGCAAAUAGAAGUUACUAACUGGACCUUGGGGAAUAUGCUCUGAAGCGUGUGUGGUGACAAGCCGAAGCAAUGGGAUGUAGCCUUGGCCCAGAUCGAAUUCGCCUACAACAACGCCGUUUACAUCGCCACCGGUCACUUUACCUUCUCCUUGGUCUUCAUUUCAAUACCAAGACACGUAGUCGACUUAGUCAAACUUCCCUACGACCCCAGAAUUAGCACAACAAUGGUAAAUAUGGCUAAGGAAGUUCAAGCAACAAAGGAAGCUGUCGAAACUCCACUCGAAACAACCAAAUUAAAGAACAAAGCGGCAAUGGAUAAACAUCGUCAGAAAAAGAUCUUCCAUGAGGAAGAUGAAGUGACGGUAUUCCUUCGGAAGGAACGUUUUCCCGUUGAACGUAUGGUAAGCUACAACCACGGAAGUGUGGUCCUUUCAAAGUCGCAAAGAAGAUCAACGAUAACGUGCAUGUCAUUACCCUUCCUGAUUCGUUACACAUUUCCAACACUUUCAAUGUAGCUGACAUCUAUGAGUAUCAUGCCUACGAGGCAAUGCUGACUCAAAAGAACUCGACGUCGAGUUCUUUUGAAGUGGAGGAGACUGAUAUAGAGAGGUUAGAGGGAACGAUCGAGUACUAGGUUUUGAUUUUUAUACAUGAAUAAAGAUUGAAGUCGUCACCAACAUUUUCUUACUCGUUAUAAUCCACA